rnacentral:lncRNA from 1 species
AUAAAGAAAGAUUCAUCAAGUUCAUAUUAGGAAGGUUGGCAAUAAAGAACUUUAAUUGUUCUCUUCUCAUGUGGUUUGUUGGGACUUUAAUAUUAGCCGAAGACUUAGCUACUGAACACCUAAUUUGUUGCGUCGAAAAAAAAAACACCUCUUUUCAUAGAACAAACUUCCAUAUUCCCGGUAAGUGUGUAUAGAAAUCAACCCAAACCCAUGAUUCACAUAGGAUGAACACUGUACAAGCUUCGGAGAAUUUGUGCAAAAAAUACCAAAACAGAGAUGCGUAGAACACUAAUUACCAAAAGAUAUCUUUGAUAAUAAGUGGAAGCCUCACAUGGAAUCACCUCGGCACCGAUAGACCAAGCUCUGGAAAGGGGGAAAAAUGGUCUCAGGAGAUUUUUUCAAGUAGAAAUUUCAUAGAACUAAUUUAAGAAAGCAAUAAAGACAUGACAUACAUAAAUGCCAAACAAUACCAAUUUGAGGGGUGUAUUAUUUUCAAAAUUUUACUUCAAUUGAACCGUUUUAUUCAACAUUCAUCAAUUCCAAAGCCAUAUAAUCUAUGAUGAGCUUUGCCAAAAGUCACAGAUCUUCCAGAUUGACAGAAUAGACGAAAGAGAAAGAGGAAUGAAAUAAGAGAACUUUUAAGGCAAUGUCAAUUCAGUUAUAAGAGAACGAGAAGAGGAGAAAGAUAUUAGACAUACAAAGUUAAACAUAUUAAGCAAAAGAAAGCUCUUUCAAAAAUAAUACAGAAGAUACCCAUGUAUCAAUUUCCUUAUUUUCUUUGCUCAAUAAUCCAAAUGCAAGAAAAUAUGUCCUCCUUAUAUUUGUCUUAAAUAGGUCUCGCACCACUAAAUCCAAACGGAUGGUACACAUACUCCAAUAGGAACUUCGAGUUAAUCAACUGUUGAGACCCCCCUUCUCAUUGAAAACCCAAGAUUAGCAUGAAACAUGAAGACAGUACAUGAACUUAUACUUGGCAUGUUUAAAUUUGAGAAUAAAAACAAAUGCAUGAAACGGACCAAAGAGGUAAAUAGCAAUUCUCCAGGGUAGAAACAGAACCUAAUAGGCUUAAGGGUCUAC